GGUGGAUGAACAUGUAAUGGAGUUGCAGCAUCAGUCGCUGACCAAGGAAUUACUGGGGAAGUUGGUGGUAGAGGGAGGCUAUUGACAUGUCACAGCAAGAUGCUCAAAAAUGUAGAGCACAUGGAGAAGAUCGCCAUGCUGGCUUUCCAUCCAGUUAAGAUGCACAGCUGCUAUGAGAAGGAGGUGAACCUGAGCCUUGAGGGUCUGCAGCAACAGUUUGACAUGUUUGAGCAGAUCCUUCAUCAGAGUCUCGAGUCUCAGGGUACAGAGGAGCUGUGUAAGAUCAUCCAGCACUGCCAGGACAGAGUCAUUA